rnacentral:rRNA from 1 species
AAACUGGAGAGUUUGAUCCUGGCUCAGAACAAACGCUAGCGGCGUGCCUAACACAUGCAAGUCAGACGAGAAAGUUCGCUUCGGCGAAUGAGUAGAGUGGCGCACGGGUGAGUAACGCGUGGACAAUCUGCCCUAGAGUUAGGAAUAACCCACCGAAAGGUGGGCUAAUACCCAAUAAUGCUAUACUUCUUCGGGAGUAUAGCCAAAGAUGGCCUCUGUUUACAAGCUAUCGCUCAAGGAUGAGUUCGCGUACCAUUAGCUUGUUGGUGGGGUAAAGGCCUACCAAGGCGACGAUGGUUAGCUGGUCUGAGAGGACGACCAGCCACACUGGAACUGAGACACGGUCCAGACUCCUACGGGAGGCAGCAGUGAGGAAUCUUGCGCAAUGGGGGAAACCCUGACGCAG